rnacentral:rRNA from 1 species
GAGGAAUAUUGGGCAAUGGAGGCAACUCUGACCCAGCCAUGCCGCGUGCAGGAAGACGGCCUAUGGAUUGUAAACUGCUUUUAUUUGGGAAUAAACCUUGGUACGUGUACCAAGCUGAAGGUACCAAACGAAUAAGGACCGGCUAACUCCGUGCCAGCAGCCGCGGUAAUACGGAGGGUGCAAGCGUUAUCCGGAAUCAUUGGGUUUAAAGGGUCCGCAGGCGGGAUUUAUAAGUCAGUGGUGAAACCUACAGCUUAACUGUAGAACUGCCAUUGAUACUGUAAGUCUUGAAUUCGGUCGAAGUGGGCGGAAUAUGUCAUGUAGCGGUGAAAUGCUUAGAUAUGACAUAGAACACCAGAUAGCGAAGGCAGCUCACUACGCCUGGACUGACGCUCAGGGACG